rnacentral:rRNA from 1 species
GCCCUUCAGCAGCCGCGGUAAUACGUAGGGUGCGAGCGUUGUCCGGAUUUAUUGGGCGUAAAGGGCUCGUAGGUGGUGAUGCGUCGGAAGUGUAAUCUUGGGGCUUAACCCUGAGCGUGCUUUCGAUACGGGUUGACUUGAGGAAGGUAGGGAGAAUGGAUUCCUGGUGGAGCGGUGGAAUGCGCAGAUAUCAGGAGGAACACCAGUGGCGAAGGCGGUUCUCUGGGCUUCCUGACGCUGAGGAGCGAAAGCGUGGGGAGCGAACAGGCUUAGAUACCCUGGUAGUCCACGCUGUAAACGGUGGGUACUAGGUGUGGGGUCCAUUCCACGGGUUCCGUGCCGUAGCUAACGCUUUAAGUACCCCGCCUGGGGAGUACGGCCGCAAGGCUAAAACUCAAAGGAAUUGACGGGGCCCCGCACAAGCGGCGGAGCAUGCGGAUUAAUUCGAUGCAACGCGUAGAACCUUACCUGGGUUUGACAUGGAUCGGGAGUGCUCAGAGAUGGGUGUGCCUCUUUUGGGGUCGGUUCACAGGUGGUGCAUGGCUGUCGUCAGCU